rnacentral:lncRNA from 1 species
UUAUGAAACGCAUUAGAAAAUUCUAAUUUCUAUCAUUCAGGGAUGCCCAGUUCCACAGUGAAUUACACAACUACGGCCUCACCCAAACCAUCUACUGAACCCAACCCAGCAGUGAAUACCACAGUCACGGUGUCAACGAUAUCAUAUAAUGGAUCAAAAACAACAGGGAUGCCCAGUUUCACAGUGAAUUACACAACUGUGCUCUUGCCAAAACUAUCUACUGAACCCAACCCAGCAGCAAAUUCCACAGUUCGGCCCUCAUCCACCCCAGCUAAUGUAUCUAAACCAGCAGAUAAUUCCACAGUUGGACCCUCAUCCAUCCCAACUAAUGAGUCUAAACCAACAGAGAAUUCCACAGUUAGACCAUCAACCACUCCAGCUAAUGAAUCUAAACCAGCAGAAAAUUCCACAGUUGCCCCCUCACCCACCCCAGCUAAUGAAUCUAAACCAGAGAAUUCAACAGUUAGACCAUCAACCACUCCAGCUAAUGAAUCUAAACCAGCAGAGAAUUCCACAGUUGGAGCCUCAUCCAUCCCAGCUAAUGAGUCUACAACAGUAGAGAAUUCCAGAGUUGGACCCUCAGCCACCCCAGCUAAUGAUUCUAAUUCAGUAGAGAAUUCCACAGCUGAUCCCUUACCCAUCCCAG